rnacentral:rRNA from 1 species
CCCUUAGACGUUCUGGGCCGCACGCGCGCUACACUGACGAAGGCAACGAGCUUUCCUUUACCGAAAGGUACGGGUAAUCUUUUGAAACUUCGUCGUGCUGGGGAUAGAUCCUUGCAAUUUUUGAUCUUAAACUAGGAAUGCCUAGUAAGCGCAAGUCAUCAACUUGCGUUGAUUACGUCCCUGCCCUUUGUACACACCGCCCGUCGCUACUACCGAUUGAAUGGUUUAGUGAGGCCUUCGGAUCCGCGACUCGUUUGUGGAGAAGUUGGACAAACUCAGUCAUUUAGAGGAAGUAAAAGUCGUAACA